UAGGAUCUGUGGAGAGAGAAAUGAGAGUGUGUACAUACAUAUUUCUCAAAAAUAACUGAACAUCAAGGGAAUAUUUUUCUACAGAGAAAUGUGUGCCCUCUUUAACGUCCAGAAACCAGAUUCCACCUUCCAUAUGCUAGAACUUCUAAUUUACAAUCUCCUUUUAGUGACAUCAUAAUCAUCUUCACAGCAGCUAGUAGUGGUUCAAGUGAGGAAAAAACAGCAGGAGCAGAGGAAGCCUGUCUACAUACAUGACAUAAAUAAAAUGGGAGAAAAGAUGCAUAGAAG